UGACAUUUGUUGCCCAGCUGCUGGUGAUACCGCGACGUACUUGGAGCAACGCUUCUGCUUAUUUCCUCUGCCUGCACCUUAUAUUUGUUGUGUUUAUCGAGACCUGGCCUGUCUCUGCCUCGUUGAAGACAAAUGGACACAAGUACUGGUUGCUGUUGGUUUGUUUGGUUUGCUCAGUCUGAGCGCGGUAUGUAUAUCCGUUUGCUAAAAGGGUAUGCUGCUGCGUCUAAUGCAGGUACUGCUCAUCUAAAGGUAGAUUUAAUUAGUAGUGGUUUGAGUGAGAAUUAGUUGGUUUGAGUGAUGUAUGACACCAGAGAGUUAUUGUUCUAGAAAGGUGACAAAGCUGGUCCACAAAUUUAAGGUAUGGAGAUGCUUAACCAUUUAAGUGUUCUAAGUUGCCAUGAAGUAUUACACACAUUUAAAAUUUCAGUUGCAAAUGACAUAGUAGAAGAAGAAUCCAGAGGAUUUGCUGCCAGAUGUCUUGAGACAAUAAAUUGUAGAGAAAGCAUCAUAGUGUGAGCUGCCAAUGAUUGUCGUCAGCUCUAACCCAUUUUUCUAUAUAGUCACUGUUGCUUCAUUGUCUGUUGCCAUCACACGCUUGUUAUAUAAACAAAAAAUUGAGCUGCAUGAUUCCCCUGAUUUUUCUCGCUCAUAAGAUACAAAUGUUUUGAUUUUGGCUGCCUUGGGGCCUCAUGGUAGAAAACAAGUGUUUAUUAGCCAGUUGCCAGCUUCUAAGAUCAUGUGCUUUGUAAUGUGGGUGUUUUAAAGGAUACUACACAUCCGCCAUCAUAACUUUGAGUGCUGCUGCCUAGCACUCCCAGGGCUAUGCUUAGUACAUAUGCGCAGCUAUCCAAGAAAAUUGACAUUGGGACAACUGCCGUUGAAGCUCACUUGGUAGAGCAUUGCAAGCACAAGGCAGAAAACGUGGGUUCAGCUUCGUUGUCUCUUAUGCAAAGCAUUAUCAUGAGCUGUCUUCUGGCUUCUUUGUACAUCCAGUUAGAUAGGCUCAAUAAUAGUUAGUAAUGUGCCUGAUGGUGGGUCGUUAAUCUGGGUCCUUAGUGCAGCAGCCCAAUUCUUUAUCCAUUAGGCUAAAGAUGCAUGCAUAGCGCGCCAGAUUAAUCUCAUUGGUUCUCUCGUAGCAGCUAAUUCUCUCAGAUGUUAUGUGACACAGAGUUUGGGAUUCACCCGUUUCAGCUCAGAUGCAACAAAGCAGGUGUUGUGUCUA
rnacentral:lncRNA from 1 species